AACGAACGCUGGCGGCGCGCCUAAUACAUGCAAGUCGAGCGAGAAGGUGUAGCAAUACACUUGUAAAGCGGCGAACGGGUGAGGAAUACAUGGGUAAUCUACCAUCGAGUGGGGAAUAACCAACCGAAAGGUUGGCUAAUACCGCGUACGCCUCCGAGUCUUCGGGUUCGGAGGGAAAGCUGCACUGUGAGUGUAGCGCUCUUUGAUGAGCUCAUGUCCUAUCAGCUUGUUGGUAGGGUAACGGCCUACCAAGGCUUUGACGGGUAGCUGGUCUGAGAGGACGAUCAGCCACACUGGCACUGCGACACGGGGCCAGACUCCUACGGGAGGCAGCAGUAAGGAAUAUUGCGCAAUGGGCGAAAGCCUGACGCAGCGACGCCGCGUGGGGGAUGAAGGUCUUCGGAUUGUAAACCCCUUUCGGGAGGGAAGAUGGAGCGAGCAAUCGUUCGGACGGUACCUCCAGAAGCAGCCACGGCCAACUUCGUGCCAGCAGCC
rnacentral:rRNA from 1 species